AACUGCCCACUCACCUGGAGUUCGCCCUACAACUCCCUAGCACAAUACGCCAAGGCGUCAUGACGAUCGCCGCCUAGAAUAGUAAUCAAAUCCAGGCUCAGAAUUCAUAUCGAUAAAAUAUAAUAACUUAUAUAAAAUACGUCACUACGUAGUUCGAUCCGGAAGAUCUGCCACUCAGAUUUUAAAUCCAUAACUUCCAGAGGUCCACAAUAUAUCUCUAGGAUAACAUCCUAAAAUUUCAUUACCAUCCAACGGUUGGAUCUCCGUCAAUUUCCAAAACUAAGUGACGGUUAACAUUUUAUAUUAUGGACUUACAAUUCCAAUUCCGGAAGAUCCGUAACUCGGAUUCCCAAUCCGUAAGUUCCAAUAAUCCUCAAAUAUUACGUAUUACAACGUAUCAAAGUUUGGUGACAAUCCAACGGUCGGAUCAUCAAUUCACAUUUUCACCAAAACUAUAAAACGUUAUUCGAACACCUAACCAACAAUCCUUAAUAACUUUCUCAUACGGUGUUCAAUUUAGGUAUAUGAAUAUACCACAGUGAUCUACUCGACGUCACGGACGUCGACAUAUUUUUAAAAUAUUUUAUUUUUAUUUUUUAUUUUACUGUAGCACCAUCUUCUUCCUUGGGUCGCCGGACUGGUUUUUCCGGCGGCCGUUUUUCCGGGCAGUUUUUUCAAAUUGCCAUAACUUUGUCAUUUCUCAACGAAAUCAAGUGAUUCAAAAACGAAAGUUGUAGCCCUUGAAGAGACAAAGAGAAUGGUACCUUGCACAACACCUAGUUCGCCGUGGUUUGGCCGGAAACUGCCUCGAAAGCCUCGGAGGUCGCCGGAAACUGGGUAUUUUUCAAAUGAGUAUAACUUCUUCAAUACUCAACGAAAUUGAGUGAAACAAAAAGGAAAGUUGUAGUACUUGACGAGACGAAGAGAUUGAUACCUACCUCGACUCUUAACUCGCCGGGGAUUCGCCGGAAAAAGCCUCGAAAGCUCCGGCCAAACUUUGAACUUGUCGAUCUCAGUGUUCUUACGUCCAAAAACUUCCCACGAAGCACUCCGAGCUUCCUUGGGACCUCACUAAGCUCACUAUAAGCUUAGAAUUCCCUGAAACACAACAUUUUACGUUCACAUGAACAGUGACCAAAAAUGGAGGUUCGGGUUUCACAUGAUUCCGAAGGUUUCACUUCCUAAAACUAGUACCAAUGAACUCAGAAUGACGAAAGGAUGAAGAUGCAUACCUUAGUUGCCUCGAUCCGUCGAGUUUUGGAGGAUUUGGGUGUAUGCCGUACGUUUUGGGUGAGAGAGAGUGAGAGAGAAAGAGGAAGUCGUGAGGGAGGAGAGAGAAUGAACUGAGAGAGAGACAAGGUACGGGAAAGAGGGAGAAAAUUGAGGGGUGUGGGAUCCUACCCAAUCCCCAACUACAAAAUUCUAACAUAAAUUUAAAUCUAAGUCUCCACUCUACUUACCAAAUUUUAGGAGCUUAGAUAUAACGAACAUAAAAAUUAUACCUUAGCCACGUAUUAGGGGCAUUUUCGUAAUUUCACAUCCUCGGAAUUAAAAAUUCCGGGACGGGCUGUGACAAUCUUCCCUCCUUAUAGAAUUUCGUCCCCGAAAUUCCAACAACCAAUCCAAACAUCUACUCAUACCAACCUCGGUAAAUCUCUCUUAUCCGAUUCUCUUUCUCCCACGUAAUUUUCUUCCACUGAAUGAUUUCCUUCACAAAGCUUUUACCACUUACUCUGUCUUAAUUCUCAAGACUUUCUUUUUCCAAUCCAAAGUCGUCCUUGGUUCCUUAUCAAUUCGAAUCCAAUUUAAUUCUCAAUAGUUGCACCAGAAUCUCAUGUGACGAAUCUGCCACCUAGUGACAACGUAUCGAACCCAAAAUACAUUAAGUACCUUAGCCAACUCUGAAGACAUCACCACUUGUAUGCAACUUUAUUGAUUCCUUUAGUGAUCAAAAAUGGUCUGAUGUGUCUAAAUCUUAUUUUGUCUCCUUUCCAACCCGAAUUAUACUUUUCUAUGGUGAACACUUCGAAAAUAUAAAACCAUUUGUCUUAUACACUCGAUUAGUGGCAUAUCCCUCUGUUAAUCUCUUUUGCCUCAAUCUGCUGACCAAAUAAAACUGUCGAAUGGUAUGAUAAAUCUUAUUACUUUUGGAAUAUUACAGAAGUUAAACAAUGUACUUCGUCCAAAAUUGCUUACUUUAAAUCCUUAGCAUUAGGCACAUACUUUUUGUUUUCUUGUAUCCACAUACCAUUUGAUUCACGAAUCAUGUACUCAUUCUUUUUCCCUUCUUUCUCUGCCUUGGUUAAUUCUUAAAUUUCCUCGUCAAACAUUUAAGUUUCGAGUACGACCUUACCAAAUAGGCCUAACUUGAAAUUUAACAAGUAUAACUUCUUCUCGAUCUUUCAUUCUUAACUUUUCUUCCAUUGGUUUUCAAUCCACAAGAUGAUACUCUUGGCAAACGUGCCAGAUAUUAAUCUUACUGUAGUCUUCUCACCAAGUGCUUCAGCUAGAACAAAUUUUACGAUCACCUUGAUCGUACAAUCAUGUUCAUUAAGCAAUACAAUUCACUUUCGCUGCCUCAUAUCAAAAUCCUUCCAAGUAAUGGAUAUUGAAGACUUUUUGGAUUCGUAAAAAUCUUGCAUUCUUACCAAAUAUAUAAUGUCUCCAUAACUUCACAGUAAGAAUGGUAAUCAUGACUUCCAAGUCACUCGUAGGGUAAUUCAUCUCAUGAGGUUCCAUUUAUCAUGAAACGUAUGCAAUCACCCUAACAUUUGCAUCAACAUGCCUCCAAUACCAUUCAAGAAACAUCACUAAAAAUUUAUGAUUACCACUAUUCUCUGGGAAUACCAAAUUACGUGCAUGAGUGAGGAAAUACUUCAGUUGUUGAAUCAUUUGCUCACAAUUUCCUUCCCACUCAUACAUAACCUCUUUUCUCAACAGUCUCGUUAAUGACAAAGCAAUGACUAAAAAUUCUUUCACAACCAUCCAAAAUAGCCUGGUAAGCUAAGAAAUUCCAAAUCUCAAUUACGACUCGUGGUUGUUCCAAAUUCUCAAUUUCUGCUAUCUUUUAAGAAUUCAUUUGAAUACCUUAAGCAGAUAUAACCAAUCUCAGAAUGCCACUUGAUUCAUCCAACAUUCGCAUUUGCUAAACUUAGCAUACAACCAACGUUCUCUCAAUCUUUGCUUCACCGACUUAAUACGUUUACAUGCUCUGCUCUGGCUCAGAAUAUGCCAGAAUAUCUUCAAUGAAAAUGAUAUCAAUUUAUCAAGGCAUUAUUGGAAUACUUCAUCCAUCAACUCAUAAAACAGCAUGAGUAUCCAUAUAGCAUCACCAAACUUCAUAAAGACUAUAACAAGUCCAGAAAACCAUCUUAUGAUCAACGUCACUUAUAAUAUUCAAUUGGUAGAACCAGAUCUCAAUUCAAUCUUUGAAUCUUCGCAAUUACUUCUGAGCUGGUUAAAUAAACAUCAGUACAUCACCAUGGAUAACGGUUCUCAAUCGUUACCCGACUCCAUUGUCUAUAAUCAAUGAACAAUCUCAAGAUCCAUUUUUCUUCCUCACCAACAAACUGGGCUCCUCAAAAGUGUUGUACUAGGUUGAAUAAAACUUUUAUCAACCAAUUCUCUCAACUGAAUUUCCAAUUCCCUUAACUCAUCCUGAACCAAUCUCCAAUAUAAAUUUAUACCUGGCAACAAAUCAAUAAUGAACCUCAUAUCUCUGCCUGAAGGCAAUCCAGGUAUACUUUCAAGGAAGACAUCAAGAAAAGUCUAACUCUUUCGACAUUAUUCACACUACUCCAAACAACAUCAUUUAGCACCACAUGAGCUAAGUAUUUUUGACAGCCUUUCGAAAACAAUCUCUUUGCUCUCACAGCAUAAAUAACAGCCUGACUCAAUCCAUUUUGCAUACUUACAAAAGUAAUCUCUGUUCAUCCAUAUCGAUGGAAAGUACUGGUUUCCCGUAACAUUCCGUCUUGUCACAAUUAUAACCAACCAAUCUAAUGGAACAGAAUUAACUGAUACAAUAUAUAUUCUAUUAUUAUUAAGCAUUCUAAAUAAGUACAAUACUAACAUAAAAUAAUCUACCGGUUUGCUUGCUUAACGAAUCCACGAAUGAGUUAUUAAUAUUACGGUCUGCAGCCCGCAAUACUGAUAAAUCAUCGUUGUCUCGAUAAGUAGGCAACCACUCUCAAAGAUAUAACAUUACUAUUUUGUUACUCAAUGCAAAAUACAUACACUCGUCUCAACUACAUUUAUUUACUACUCUCUAGGUAAUAACAUACAUAAUAAGAAAUAUAUCAGCCGAAGUCAACUAGAAUGACCAAUACGGCUGAUUCAACUCUUAUCUCAAUAAUACGUCGGCCGGAUCCACUCCGCGUGGUCGGUAUGGCUGAGCCUAUAACUCACCAUUUCUCAUGUGUCAAUCGAAUCCACUUCUCAUGGUCUGUACGACUGAACAUAUAACUCAUCAAAUCUCUCUGUACUCACAGUCAAUCCGACCAAACUACUAAAUUCAUAAACUUGUUGAAUCAACACUAUGAUAUCAUGGAAAAUUGUUGAGUACAACUGAUUCUAGGGACGAUUCACAAUUCUGUGUCCCCUCUGUUCACAUAAACACAUUCAUUAAUUUCACAUUUCCCAAAGUGUUAAUUUUUUUUUUUUUUUUUUUUUUUUUUUUUUUUUUUUUUUUUUUUUUUUUUUUUUUUUUUUUUUUGUACCUGCUGCACAAGGUACAUUUCCUUUACUCGAGACACCUUGUCUCAAAUAUCUGGGAUUACCAGUAUAUCCAUCACUUUUACUCUGACCAGCGACAUUAAAACCUCAGCUGGAAGAAUUAACUCUAGCUUCACUUCUUUCGAAGCUCUGAAUCUUUCUAUAUCCUUGAUAUGACGAAUCAUUGACUUUAUCGUCUUCUUUUGAGUCUCAUUCAUUUCUUAUUCUUCUUUAUUCUCGUUGCUCAUGUUCUCAGAGUCCUCAAGACUCAACAGCAUCUCGCAUACUCCUGAUAAGAAUUACAAUGGAUAGUGGUCACCCAAAAUACCACUUCCCUUUUGCCACCCAGCCUAAAACAACAUAACACCUCCACCAAAUUCACAACAAUAUCUGGAUAGAACGAGGCAAGUCUGAAAACUUUCUAUAAUAUCCCUCGAUCAUCACCUUCCUUGUCUCAUAUUUGUAAACUCUUGUUUACCACCAUCGAUAAAUGCCGGAGGGAUAAACUUUUCCUUUAAACAAGUCCUUAAACAAUUCUCAAUCGACUGAUUCCUAUGGUGACAACAAUUCAUACUCCUGUUUCCACCAGGAUACAAAUUCAUAACCAAAACCAGGUAGUCGUCUCGACCCCUUGUCAGAAGGAAAUUUCCUUUGACUUGCAUAAUCUGAAACAUCUUUUCCAAUUGGUUAAACCGUUACUUCGCUCCCUCAGGUUCAUCAUUUCAUAAGGUGAUUCAAAUUCAACUCAUAACCCAUCUUAAAAUGUCCCUUUUUAUAAUAGACUGAAUCACCAUAAUAAUAGUUUUCCCUAAACCGCUAUAUUAGGGAGACUAAAUUCCUCUAACUACGUGGUUUGCUACGAGGCGGUGUAGUUCUGACAGAAUUCACUAUAAACUUCUCAAGAUGUCCAAGAUUGCAACCAUGCUCUGAUACCAACUGACAUACCCCAUCCCGAAGGAGGGCAUGCUGGCCGUCACGUGAGAGUGACGUAACCAUUUGCACAGUACGGAAGCUUUAAGAUACAAUUUAAGUUGAUACACCCGAAGGUGAGUCCUAAUUUUGUCCAAUCUGUCAGAACACCGUCGAAUUCCUCGUAGUCACCACACCUUUGUGAUUCCUGAACCUGGAGGGGCGCAAAACCAAAAUUGAGUGGGUCAGUAAAACAAUUCUUUUCCAAAUCCAAACAAUUUUCAAAACGUUGUAACCCCUCUCCGUAAAACCUGUAUAUUUUCCCAGAAAUGUAAAAUAUAAAUAUACAUAUAUAUUCUCAAAACUUCAAGUCGUUAACUCAACAUUUUCAUAACAAUUAUGCCAUGCCACAUCAUCUCAACAUUUCUCAUAUUAAUUAUGCCAUGCCACAUCAUCUCAACAGUAAUAAGGUAUGAAUGCAUCAACAUAAUCAUAUCAGGUGCAAGAAAGUAAUCAACCGUAGGCCCUCUAAUAGCCCUGUACGGUUGAACCUAGAGCUCAAAAUCUAUCAUUAUCACUCUACCGGAGUCACCUCUGUGACCCGUCCGGCCUUCUGCACACAAGUUACGCUCUAGUGCUUCUCAUAAGUCAUCUGUGCACAUAAUCUAAGGUCACCCACCAGUCGGAAUCUCACUAACACUCUCGCGACUGGUCUGUCGUACCCACUCCGCGUGGACUGUACGACUAGCAUCUACUUGGAUCCAAGGCGAGCGUGCGAUGCGGUGAAUACUAUAAGCACUAAACCAUGGUGCAGGAUUUGAGCUCAAUAUAUAUCAUCAUCAUAAUAACAGUAAUUAAAUUCUUACCUGUGCGUCCACCGCACCAAUUCAUACAUAUGCAUCAUAAAUCAAUUCUUACCUGUGCGUCCACCGCACCAAUUCAUACAUAUGCAUCAUAUAUUAAUUCAUGCAUGGCAUUUCAACUCACAUUUCUAUAUACUUUUCAUAUCAAUUCUAUGCAUGGUAUUUCACUUCCCGUUUUUCCACAUAACUCAUAUGCAUUUCAUUUUAAACAUAUUUUCAUUUCAAUUCAAUUUCUGGGAAACGUCAAGUAUAUAUAUAUACGGAAAACAAAACUGCCCACUCACCUGGAGUUCGCCCUACAACUCCCUAGCACAAUACGCCAAGGCGUCAUGACGAUCGCCGCCUAGAAUAGUAAUCAAAUCCAGGCUCAGAAUUCAUAUCGAUAAAAUAUAACUUAUAUAAAAUACGUCACUACGUAGUUCGAUCCGGAAGAUCUGCCACUCAGAUUUUAAAUCCAUAACUUCCAGAGGUCCACAAUAUAUCUCUAGGAUAACAUCCUAAAAUUUCAUUACCAUCCAACGGUUGGAUCUCCGUCAAUUUCCAAAACUAAGUGACGGUUAACAUUUUAUAUUAUGGACUUACAAUUCCAAUUCCGGAAGAUCCGUAACUCGGAUUCCCAAUCCGUAAGUUCCAAUAAUCCUCAAAUAUUACGUAUUACAACGUAUCAAAGUUUGGUGACAAUCCAACGGUCGGAUCAUCAAUUCACAUUUUCACCAAAACUAUAAAACGUUAUUCGAACACCUAACCAACAAUCCUUAAUAACUUUCUCAUACGGUGUUCAAUUUAGGUAUAUGAAUAUACCACAGUGAUCUACUCGACGUCACGGACGUCGACAUAUUUUUAAAAUAUUUUUAUUUUUAUUUUUUUAUUUUACUGUAGCACCAUCUUCUUCCUUGGGUCGCCGGACUGGUUUUUCCGGCGGCCGUUUUCCGGGCAGUUUUUCAAAUUGCCAUAACUUUGUCAUUUCUCAACGAAAUCAAGUGAUUCAAAAACGAAAGUUGUAGCCCUUGAAGAGACAAAGAGAAUGGUACCUUGCACAACACCUAGUUCGCCGUGGUUUGGCCGGAAACUGCCUCGAAAGCCUCGGAGGUCGCCGGAAACUGGGUAUUUUUCAAAUGAGUAUAACUUCUUCAAUACUCAACGAAAUUGAGUGAAACAAAAAGGAAAGUUGUAGUACUUGACGAGACGAAGAGAUUGAUACCUACCUCGACUCUUAACUCGCCGGGGAUUCGCCGGAAAAAGCCUCGAAAGCUCCGGCCAAACUUUGAACUUGUCGAUCUCAGUGUUCUUACGUCCAAAAACUUCCCACGAAGCACUCCGAGCUUCCUUGGGACCUCACUAAGCUCACUAUAAGCUUAGAAUUCCCUGAAACACAACAUUUUACGUUCACAUGAACAGUGACCAAAAAUGGAGGUUCGGGUUUCACAUGAUUCCGAAGGUUUCACUUCCUAAAACUAGUACCAAUGAACUCAGAAUGACGAAAGGAUGAAGAUGCAUACCUUAGUUGCCUCGAUCCGUCGAGUUUUGGAGGAUUUGGGUGUAUGCCGUACGUUUUGGGUGAGAGAGAGUGAGAGAGAAAGAGGAAGUCGUGAGGGAGGAGAGAGAAUGAACUGAGAGAGAGACAAGGUACGGGAAAGAGGGAGAAAAUUGAGGGGUGUGGGAUCCUACCCAAUCCCCAACUACAAAAUUCUAACAUAAAUUUAAAUCUAAGUCUCCACUCUACUUACCAAAUUUUAGGAGCUUAGAUAUAACGAACAUAAAAAUUAUACCUUAGCCACGUAUUAGGGGCAUUUUCGUAAUUUCACAUCCUCGGAAUUAAAAAUUCCGGGACGGGCUGUGACA
rnacentral:lncRNA from 1 species